GGGGACUUAGCUCAGUGGUAGAGCGCUUGCCUAGGAAGCGCAAGGCCCUGGGUUCGAUCCCCAGCUCUG
rfam:Rattus norvegicus chromosome 3, whole genome shotgun sequence.